rnacentral:rRNA from 1 species
UACGUAGGGUCCGAGCGUUGUCCGGAAUUAUUGGGCGUAAAGGGCUCGUAGGCGGUCUGUUGCGUCGGGAGUGAAAACUUACAGCUUAACUGUGAGCGUGCUUCCGAUACGGGCAGACUUGAGGUAUUCAGGGGAGGACGGAAUUCCUGGUGUAGCGGUGGAAUGCGUAGAGAUCCCCAAGAACACCAGUUGCGAAGGCGGCCGUCUGGACACAUAUUGACGCUGAGGCUCGAAAGCAUGGGGAGCAAACAGG